rnacentral:rRNA from 2 species
GGAUAACAUUUGGAAACAGAUGCUAAUACCGCAUAACAACAAAAGCCGCAUGGCUUUUGUUUGAAAGAUGGCUUGGCUAUCACUCUGGGAUGGACCUGCGGUGCAUUAGCUAGUUGGUAAGGUAACGGCUUACCAGGCGAUGUGCAUAGCCGAGUUGAGAGACUGAUCGCCACAAUGGAACUGAGAACGGUCCAUACUCCUACGGGAGGCAGCAGUAGGGAAUUCACAAUGGGCGCAAGCCUGAUGGAGCAACACCGCGUGAGUGAAGAAGGGUUUCGGCUCGUAAAGCUCUGUUGUUGGAGAAGAACGUGCGUGAGAGNACUGUUCACCAGUGACGGUAUCCAACCAGAAAGUCAGCUAACUACGUGCCAGCAGCCGCGGUAAUACGUAGGUGGCAAGCGUUAUCCGGAUUAUUGGGCGUAAAGCGAGCGCAGGCGGUGCUUAGGUCUGAUGUGAAAGCUUCGGCUUAACCGAAGAAGUGCAUCGGAAACCGGGCGACUUGAGUGCAGAAGAGGACAGUGGAACUCCAUGUGUAGGUGGAAUGCGUAGAUAUAUGGAAGAACACCAGUGGCGAAGGCGGCUGUCUGGUCUGCAACUGACGCUGAGGCUCGAAGCAUGGGUAGCGAACAGGAUUAGAUACCCUGGUAGUCCAUGCCGUAAACGAUGAGUGCUAGGUGUUGGAGGUUUCCGCCUCAGUGCCGGAGCUAACGCAUUAAGCACUCCGCCUGGGGAGUACGACCGCAAGGUUGAACUCAAAGGAAUUGACGGGCCCGCACAAGCGGUGGAGCAUGUGGUUAUUCGAAGCUACGCGAAGAACCUUACCAGGUCUUGACAUCUUGCGCUAACCUUAGAGAUAAGGCGUUCCUUCGGGGACGCAAUGACAGGUGGUGCAUGGUCGUCGUCAGCUCGUGUCGUGAGAUGUUGGUUAAGUCCGCAACGAGCGCAACCCUGUUACUAGUUGCCAGCAUUAAGUUGGGCACUCUAGUGAGACUGCCGGUGACAAACCGGAGGAAGGUGGGGACGACGUCAGAUCAUCAUGCCCCUAUGACCUGGGCUACACACGUGCUACAAUGGACGGUACACGAGUCGCAAGCUCGCGAGAGUAAGCUAAUCUCUUAAAGCCGUUC